CAUCUGCUUGCCAGUUUUCUAAAGGGAAAUCCUCAAGUCUGCUUUAGAAGAUACGAUGAUUUAGUUUAACUAAUAUGGAGGUCGGUUCAGACGCUUAUCCUAAAAGGCUUUCGAUAGAAAUGACAUUCUACAUAUGGGCGUGACUAGAAAGCGUGGAUCCCCAGAGUACUGAGGCCACACUGAUUCAUGCCACAUAAGGUGAAUGCAGGGAACACACUACAAGGAGAUGGCUUACAAAGGAAAGCAGAUGAAACUGUAAAUAUGCUUGACAAGACUAAGGCGGAAAGGAGUUCAAAGAUUUAUGCUCUGAAGAUGAGAGAGGAAAUCAAGACAUGAUGAGGGCUAUUUUUUUCAUCUGAAAAUAUUAAAGAAUGGUAAUGCA